UACCGCACAAAGCCUACGGACCAAAGGGGGCUUCGGCUCUCGCCUUUAGAUUGGCCCAAGUGGGAUUAGCUAGUUGGUGAGGUAAUGGCUCACCAAGGCGACGAUCCCUAGCUGGUUUGAGAGGAUGAUCAGCCACACUGGGACUGAGACACGGCCCAGACUCCUACGGGAGGCAGCAGUGGGGAAUAUUGCACAAUGGGCGCAAGCCUGAUGCAGCCAUGCCGCGUGUGUGAAGAAGGCCUUCGGGUUGUAAAGCACUUUCAGUCAGGAGGAAAGGUUAGUAGUUAAUACCUGCUAGCUGUGACGUUACUGACAGAAGAAGCACCGGCUAACUCCGUGCCAGCAGCCGCGGUAAUACGGAGGGUGCGAGCGUUAAUCGGAAUUACUGGGCGUAAAGCGUACGCAGGCGGUUUGUUAAGCGAGAUGUGAAAGCCCCGGGCUCAACCUGGGAACUGCAUUUCGAACUGGCAAACUAGAGUGUGAUAGAGGGUGGUAGAAUUUCAGGUGUAGCGGUGAAAUGCGUAGAGAUCUGAAGGAAUACCGAUGGCGAAGGCAGCCACCUGGGUCAACACUGACGCUCAUGUACGAAAGCGUGGGGAGCAAACGGGAUUAGAUACCCCGGUAGUCCACGCCGUAAACGAUGUCUACUAGAAGCUCGGAGCCUCGGUUCUGUUUUUCAAAGCUAACGCAUUAAGUAGACCGCCUGGGGAGUACGGCCGCAUGGUUAAAACUCAAAUGAAUUGACGGGGGCCCGCACAAGCGGUGGAGCAUGUGGUUUAAUUCGAUGCAACGCGAAGAACCUUACCUACACUUGACAUACAGAGAACUUACCAAGGAUGGUUUGGUGCCUUCGGGAACUCUGAUACAGGUGCUGCAUGGCUGUCCUCAGCUCGUGUUGUGAGAUGUUGGGUUAAAUCCCGCA
rnacentral:rRNA from 1 species